UUGUUUGCUUAAAUGUGCAGUUGAUGUUAAUAUUGCUAAUCCGCCAAGCUUUGCUGGUCACGAGAGACAUGGGGAUGCUUCCAGAAUCAUCAAAAUUCUUUAACUUCCAGGUUUUCUGUUCUUCAACUAGUGGGCUUACUUAUUCCAUGCUACGUGGUGGGCCAUUCAUGGUUUUAAUGAUUUUAAGGCAAAGAAGAAGGCAGGCAAAGCAAGAACCGGGGCUAACUACAGACUUGCCUUGAAGUGGUGACACAAUGGCUAUCUCAACACCAUUCAGUUAGUGAAGUUCAGAUGUGGAACAUGAUGCACAUUCUAUACCUCCUAUUUUGAAGGGUCUCAACUUGCAUAUAUUUCCGAAAACAGUAGUACUGCUUGAUCAGUUAGCCUUUUGCAAACCUCCUAUGUGAGUAGCUUUGACUCAUUUUACUUAAAAAAUGGGUGUAUGUGGAGUGUGCUAUAUCUCUAACGGGUCAUAUGGAUUAACUAAAAAGAAAAUGGUUCAAAUGAAAGCAUAAUGAAAUUACUAGCCAAAGAGACCUUGCAAACUAUAUCUUUGGGUGAUUUUGGAGCUGACUAUGUUGUAUAAUCUUCUGGCAUUUUUACGACGGUUAAUUUGAAGUUAAAAAGUUCAGUUUGGUUUACCUUAAAACUUUUAAAGGACGUGUACCCCUAAGUUGAUAUUUUUCUUCGUCGAUAUGCAGGGUGGUGCCAAGAAGUUGGUGAUCUCAGCUCCAUAAGCCGAUUCACCUAUGUUUGUCGUAGGAGUAACGUAAAGAUGAGUCUUGAUCUCCUAAAGUGGAGAUUGCAAAAAAGAUGAGUCAGAUAUCCCUCUCCCUCUGACAAGUAUCUUCUCUUAAGCCAUUUAGCAAUGGUAGCAUAUCUUUAUUUUAUAAGAUCUAGUUUGAUUUCUUAUAUUUCGUCACCUAACUAGGUUUCUGGAAAUGAAACCAAUGAUAAAUUUGAGUAUGAAGCUUCAAAAAAUUUUUAUUUACAAAUAUUAUUUUUUGCAUGUUCUUGCUGUGAAAAAGGCACCAAGUGUAAGAUAUAGGUUAAAUGGAAGGGAUUUAGCACUAUU